UCGCGGCCUAUCAGCUUGUUGGUGAGGUAAUGGCUCACCAAGGCGACGACGGGUAGCCGGCCUGAGAGGGCGACCGGCCACACUGGGACUGAGACACGGCCCAGACUCCUACGGGAGGCAGCAGUGGGGAAUAUUGGGCAAUGGAGGAAACUCUGACCCAGCGACGCCGCGUGCGGGAUGAAGGCCUUCGGGUUGUAAACCGCUUUCAGCAGGGAAGAAGCGAAAGUGACGGUACCUGCAGAAGAAGCACCGGCUAACUAUGUGCCAGCAGCCGCGGUAAUACAUAGGGUGCAAGCGUUGUCCGGAAUUAUUGGGCGUAAAGAGCUCGUAGGUGGUUCGUCACGUCGGAUGUGAAACUCUGGGGCUUAACCCCAGACCUGCAUUCGAUACGGGCGAGCUUGAGUAUGGUAGGGGAGUCUGGAAUUCCUGGUGUAGCGGUGGAAUGCGCAGAUAUCAGGGGGAACACCAAUGGCGAAGGCAGGACUCUGGGCCAUUACUGACACUGAGGAGCGAAAGCGUGGGGAGCGAACAGGAUUAGAUACCCUGGUAGUCCACGCCGUAAACGGUGGGCACUAGUUGUGGGGACCUUCCACGGUCUCUGCGACGCAGCUAACGCAUUAAGCACCCCGCCUGGGGAGUACGG
rnacentral:rRNA from 1 species